UACGUAGGGUGCGAGCGUUGUCCGGAAUUAUUGGGCGUAAAGGGCUCGUAGGCGGUUUGUCGCGUCGGGAGUGAAAUCCACUGGCUUAACUGGUGGCUUGCUUUCGAUACGGGCAGACUGGAGGUAUGCAGGGGAGAACGGAAUUCCUGGUGUAGCGGUGAAAUGCGUAGAUAUCGGGAGGAACACCAGUGGCGAAGGCGACUAUCUGGGCUGCAACUGACGCUGAGGCGCGAAGGCUAGGGUAGCAAACAGG
rnacentral:rRNA from 1 species